UGUUAUAUAAAUAUUUAGUUUUUUGUUCUACUUAAAGAGUGUGCGUUAUACAUCCAUUCUUUUUAUAUUUUGUUCACUUUACUUGUUGAAAAUUAAAAUAUUUACAAAUAUAUAGACACGAUUCUCGAGGUGUGUCUCUCUGGAGGUGUGCCUAGAUUGACAAAAGUCAUAAAAUACAUUUAAUGCAUUUUUGAAAACAUUGUACAGGAACAUUUUUUAGCAAACAAAUCGUGCAUAUUGCAGAUUAGCAAUGCAAAUAAAGACGUAUUAAUGAUUGAUAUUUCAAUUUUCAAUUUCAGUGUGUAAUAUAUAUGCAUAAUAAAACGAC
rnacentral:lncRNA from 1 species